AUUGAACGUUGGCGGCAUGCCUUACACAUGCAAGUCGAACGGUAACAGGUCUUCGGAUGCUGACGAGUGGCGAACGGGUGAGUAAUACAUCGGAACGUGCCUAGUAGUGGGGGAUAACUGCUCGAAAGAGCAGCUAAUACCGCAUACGACCUGAGGGUGAAAGGGGGGGAUCGCAAGACCUCUCGCUAUUGGAGCGGCCGAUAUCAGAGUAGCUAGUUGGUGGGGUAAAGGCCUACCAAGGCAACGAUCUGUAGUUGGUCUGAGAGGACGACCAGCCACACUGGGACUGAGACACGGCCCAGACUCCUACGGGAGGCAGCAGUGGGGAAUUUUGGACAAUGGGCGCAAGCCUGAUCCAGCAAUGCCGCGUGCAGGAAGAAGGCCUUCGGGUUGUAAACUGCUUUUGUCAGGGAAGAAAUCUUCUGGGCUAAUACCCCGGGAGGAUGACGGUACCUGAAGAAUAAGCACCGGCUAACUACGUGCCAGCCGCCGCCGUAA
rnacentral:rRNA from 1 species